rnacentral:rRNA from 1 species
GUGUCAGCCGCCGCGGUAAUACGUAGGAUGCAAGCGUUGUUCGGAAUUACUGGGCGUAAAGAGUACGUAGGCGGUAUGGUAAGUCUGAUAUUAAAGACUGAGGCUUAACCUCAGGACUGUAUCGGAAACUGCCAAACUAGAGGACAAUAGAGGAAGUCGGAAUUCUCAGUGUAGCGGUGAAAUGCGUAGAUAUUGGGAAGAACACCAGUGGCGAAAGCGGACUUCUGGGUUGUUACUGACGCUGAGGUACGAAAGCGUGGGGAGCAAACGGGAUUAGAAACCCCCGUAGUCC